rnacentral:rRNA from 1 species
AGCAGCCGCGGUAAUUCCAGCUCCAAUAGCGUAUAUUAAAGUUGUUGCAGUUAAAAAGCUCGUAGUUGAAUUUCGGGGUUAGUAGGUUGGUCAUGCCUCUGGUAUGUACUGGUCUCACUGAUUCCUCCUUCCUGAUGAACCGUAAUGCCAUUAAUUUGGUGUUGUGGGGAAUUUGGACUGUUACUUUGAAAAAUUAGAGUGUUUAAAGCAAGCUAACGCUUGAAUACAUUAGCAUGGAAUAAUGAAAUAGGACGUUCGAUCCUAUUUUGUUGGUUUCUAGGAUUGACGUAAUGAUUAAUAGGGAUAGUUGGGGGCAUUAGUAUUCAAUUGUCAGAGGUGAAAUUCUUGGAUUUAUUGAAGACUAACUACUGCGAAAGCAUUUGCCAAGGAUGUUUUCAUUAAUCAAGAACGAAAGUUAGGGGAUCGAAGACGAUCAGAUACCGUCGUAGUCUUAACCAUAAACUAUGCCGACUAGGGAUCGGAUGAUGUUAAUUUUUAAUGACUCAUUCGGCGUCCUUAC